AGAGAGGUGACCGAGUGGCUGAAGGUGCUCGCCUGGAAAGCGAGUGUGCAUCGAGAAGAUGUACCGAGGGUUCGAAUCCCUUCCUCUCUG
rnacentral:tRNA from 1 species